rnacentral:rRNA from 1 species
UACGUAGGGUGCAAGCGUUUGUCCGGAAUUAUUGGGCGUAAAGAGCUCGUAGGCGGUUUGUCGCGUCUGCUGUGAAAACGCGAGGCUCAACCUCGCGCCUGCAGUGGGUACGGGCAGACUAGAGUGCGGUAGGGGAGAUUGGAAUUCCUGGUGUAGCGGUGGAAUGCGCAGAUAUCAGGAGGAACACCGAUGGCGAAGGCAGCGUUCUGGACUGCUACUGACACUGAGGAACGAAAGCCCAGGGGAGCAAACGGGG